CCCCCGCCCCCGCGCUUCACCUCAGAGUUGAUUGCUGCUUCACCUCGCGCGCGACUCCCUCCACCCCGCAGCCGGCCGACGCACACCUCGACGCGCCGUCCUCCACUAAAUUCCCGGAAAGGCACCGCAUGUGUUGCGUCCAUGACCAUUCCUGAUUCGCCUGUUUUGGAUCCUGAAAUAAGACCACAUCGUGCACUCCCAGUUUUCUAUAUUAGAUUGGGCUAUUGUUCCAUGUUUUCUACAUUUAGACUGGGUACUGGGUGGUAUGAAAAAGAUGGUUCAGGUAUGACCUUACCAUUAUUCUGGGCAGAGAUACUCCAUGACCUAGCCCAGGAAAGGAUAACCAGCCAUGUCAGUUCAAUGUCUCUGUUUUACAUCAUCUGAACUGAAAACAAAACUGGUUAAAUUCUUCUAACUUCAAUGCCUCCAUGAACCAUAUGAUUUUCCUUUGACAGAUUGUAUUCAAACAAGUGCUUUGAAAUUCUUCUAACCUGAAUUACUGAAGCUACCAUUACAGAAUGGUAGAAACUAGAAAGGAUGAUUGAGUUUCUCUCUAGCUCAGCCAAGCUACCAUGUGAGUUACUCAGGUGAGCAAUUUGUCAAUGUUUGUGUAUUUGUGACAAUGUGGUAGCGACAGACAUGCAAGUUAGGAACAAUUUUAUGAAUCUUUAAUUUAGGCUGUCAAAAAGAUACUAUUUCAAACUUUACCCAUGCUCCAAAAACCCAUGUCCCGCCCUGCUUGACAUUACUUUCCACCUUGACAAAGGCAGGCCAAACCGUCAACAUUGAAGAUGCUAAGCACGUCCGUCAGAGUGAUAAACUGUUGGGUGACAAGAUAGAUGAGGCCGUCAAAGAAUGGGAUGCUCAGAAAGAAUUCUGAGAGAACAGGACAAUGAUGAAUCAGGAGAGUACAUCACGAGUACGACGACUGAUGAGUUGCAGUGUAUAGGUUGACAAUUUGAGAUUAUAUUAUACUCCUAUCAAAUAAUUUACGAAAGCUUGAAACAAUUGUAUUCUAUAUCAUGGCAAUAUUGGUAUAUGAGUUUAUAAUUUUUGACACCCGUUGCAACACACGGGCACAAACCUAGUCAAGGGAAAAGUUGACUCAUGAGUAAAUUAAGCAGGUAUUGGUACAUCUGGCUUCACUGCCACUUGCCCAAAAAUGGCGGUAAAAAUUGAACACUCCCAAUUGGUAUACGAUGAUCUGACCGGGUUUGAUGAUAAUCCAUCCCUGUAGCUGUAUGCAUGCAUGCCGCCAAAUUAAAGCACACCAGCUAGCUAGCUAAUCGCCCAAUAAGUAAUAACCCGUUUCCUCGUUGAGGAUGUUGCUCCUCUGCUUCUUGUGUUUGCUCGUGCUGUGGUCUGGAGCUUCUGGAUCUGGAUGGCUCACAUCCAUGGCGGAUGUUGGUGGUUGUGGGGACAAAUCGUUGGGUCCGAUGACCGAUUUCCUUUCAACGAAUACUUCUUGCGGUUUACCAAAGCUUGGUGUCCGGCCUUCGAUUUGUUUUGGCGAGAUGGUGGUUUGACGUUCCUGGAUGCCGGCGAGCGAGCUCUGAAGAAGGCGCAGUGUUUUCUCGAUGUGAGGAAGAAGAUAAACAGUAGAGACAGGGACUUGGAUGUAAUUUCUGUUUUAAUCAGGGUCUUUGCUGUAAGAUUGAGGUGUACUGUGCUGACGUUUGUUUUAAUAUAAGCUGCAUCUCUUUCUCGCAAAAA